GCUGGGCGUGGUGGUGCGUGCCUGUAAUCCCAGUUACUUGGGAGGCUGAGGCAGGAGAAUUGCUUGAACCCAGGAGGCAGAGGUUGCAGUGAGCCAAGGUUGUGCCACUGAACUUCAGCCUGGGCGACGGAGCAAGACUCUGUCUCAA
rnacentral:SRP_RNA from 1 species